CCACCUACUCCAAAAUGGGUCUGAGGUCUCUUUGAUCAGCAACGAAACCGAUCUCCAAGGGGCUGUUAGAUUAACUCUUGUUGUAGCCCUUUCUUCCUUCUCUUGGAUGGCGCCUGAACUCCUUCAAGCACUUUAAGGAUCAGCCCAACACCUUUGGGUGUGAACUACAGGAGCAGCCUAACACUUUAGGCAUGUGAGGAGAUGAAAGUGGUAGAGUUUCGAUGGAAGAAAAUGUGCAGGAUUUCAGAUGGAACACUUUGAUGCCUAUGCCAAACACUUUGGCACUG
rnacentral:lncRNA from 1 species